CGGGUGAGUAACACGUGGAUAACCUACCUAUAAGACUGGGAUAACUUCGGGAAACCGGAGCUAAUACCGGAUAAUAUUUUGAACCGCAUGGUUCAAAAGUGAAAGACGGUCUUGCUGCACUUAUAGAUGGAUCCGCGCUGCAUUAGCUAGUUGGUAAGGUAACGGCUUACCAGGCAACGAUGCAUAGCCGACCUGAGAGGGUGAUCGGCCACACUGGAACUGAGACACGGUCCAG
rnacentral:rRNA from 1 species